rnacentral:tRNA from 1 species
CAGAAAAUAGUUUAAAAAAAACACUAACCCUGGGAGUUAGAGAUACCAAAAAGUUUUUCUGA